rnacentral:lncRNA from 1 species
ACUUAUUUUAGGGAUCGACAAAUCAGUCUUCAAGUCAUUGUUUAAAAAAAAAACCCUCCAGAUUCCUCAAAGACUGCAAAACAAACUAAAAGUUGAACACAAAGAAAAGUAUUAAAAACAGGAAACGGUUCUUAUAAGAUACUUCAAUCUCACCGUUUAUCACCGAUAUUGACAUCCUCUUCACGGCAGCGAAUUUCAAGAGUUCCCAUAGGAAUGCUCUGGAGGCAAAAGCUUUGAUAGAAUGGAGUGCUGGCUCUCCGACGAUUAUCAAUCAUCCCGGCGGG